rnacentral:lncRNA from 1 species
CUUAAAUGGCUAAGAGACCACCAGGGCAAAACAUUUGUGUGAAGCCCUUGCCAAAACCACAAGUGAAGACAGCAGGCAGCCAAUCAAAACGCCAGAGCCUGUAAUGAGGGCGAUUGAUGGCUGUUUGGCUUUUACUGCAGGGUAAUGAACUAGAAUCCAGUCUGAGGAGGGGGAAAAAUAUGAAUAUUCAUGAGACUGUGCUCCUGCCUUUGAUGAUUAAAGAAAUUUUUAAUAUUCAAAUAAGCGCUUGCCAAGUGAUUAACAAAGAACAAGCACGCAGAAAUAUGGAAAUGGGAGCCGGGAAAGAUUUGAGAGG